rnacentral:rRNA from 1 species
UUAGAGUUUGAUCAUGGCUCAGGACGAACGCUGGCGGCGUGCCUAAUACAUGCAAGUCGAACGCGUCUUGGUUAAUGAUGUUAGGUGCUUGCAUUUAACUGAUUUAACAUUGAGACGAGUGGCGAACUGGUGAGUAACACGUGGGUAACCUGCCCUGAAGUGGGGGAUAACACUUGGAAACAGGUGCUAAUACCGCAUAACAACGAAAACCACAUGGUUUUCGUUUGAAAGAUGGCUUCGGCUGUCACUUUUGGAUGGACCCGCGGCGUAUUAGCUUGUUGGUGAGGUAACGGCUCACCAAGGCCAUGAUACGUAGCCGACCUGAGAGGGUAAUCGGCCACAUUGGGACUGAGACACGGCCCAAACUCCUACGGGAGGCAGCAGUAGGGAAUCUUCCACAAUGGACGAAAGUCUGAUGGAGCAACGCCGCGUGAGUGAUGAAGGGUUUCGGCUCGUAAAACUCUGUUGUUGGAGAAGAACAGGUGAUAGAGUAACUGUUAUCAUCUUGACGGUAUCCAACCAGAAAGCCACGGCUAACUACGUGCCAGCAGCCGCGGUAAUACGUAGGUGGCAAGCGUUGUCCGGAUUUAUUGGGCGUAAAGCGAGCGCAGGCGGUUUUUUAGGUCUGAUGUGAAAGCCUUCGGCUUAACCGGAGAAGGGCAUCGGAAACCGGGAGACUUGAGUGCGGAAGAGGACAGUGGAACUCCAUGUGUAGCGGUGAAAUGCGUAGAUAUAUGGAAGAACACCAGUGGCGAAGGCGGCUGUCUGGUCUGUAACUGACGCUGAGGCUCGAAAGCAUGGGUAGCGAACAGGAUUAGAUACCCUGGUAGUCCAUGCCGUAAACGAUGAGUGCUAAGUGUUGGAGGGUUUCCGCCCUUCAGUGCUGCAGCUAACGCAUUAAGCACUCCGCCUGGGGAGUACGACCGCAAGGUUGAAC